UACGGAGGGUGCAAGCGUUGUCCGGAUUUACUGGGCGUAAAGGGCUCGUAGGCGGUUUGUCGCGUCGGUCGUGGAAAUGUCUGGCUUAACUGGGCACGUGCGGCCGAUACGGGCAGACUCGAGGGCGGUAGGGGCAAGCGGAAUUCCUGGUGUAGCGGUGAAAUGCGCAGAUAUCAGGAGGAACACCGAUGGCGAAGGCAGCUUGCUGGGCCGUUCCUGACGCUGAGGAGCGAAAGCGUGGGUAGCGAACAGG
rnacentral:misc_RNA from 1 species